UUUUUGUGAAAUUCGUUAAGAUUAAUUUAGGUUUUUCACCCAUACUUAUUCCAUUAUGUUAAACCACCAGAAAUACUCCCAACUACACCCUUACAAUCAAAUAAACUAUUAAAUCAUCAGAAGAUCCAGAAUAAUAAAGUGCAUGCUUAAUUAUUGGAAGAAAUAGAAUCAAGAAGUUGUUAAUUCAAUCCUGCAUGCUGAUUUGUAAUUACAGUAGAUUGGAGUAAGGAUUGGAUCCGGCACUAAAAGACUUCAAGAAGUGGCUUAUUUUAUUAAUUAAAUCAAAUUAAGAAAUAUUGUUUUUAUUAAAAGCUACCUUUGUAAAACAUGGAAUUUAUUCCAUCUAUUUCAAUAAAAAUCCGGUGU
rnacentral:lncRNA from 1 species